UCACCUGCAGAGGGAGGACAACAUUUCCGUAAAAGAAAGAAAAGACAAGACAAACCACUUGCAGAAAGUGAUCAAUCCAUCACUGGAGCUGGUAGGCUCCUCAGUAGCACUCAGCAUCAUCAAACAAGACAGAAGAUACUGAGAGGAAGCAAAAGCAUACUUCUGCCAUGGUAUGUGGCCUUGCUCUCCAAGGUUUCAGAUCACCUGAACUUACGACUGGAAAAUCACUUCUGCUGAGGAACAUCAACAACUGAAAAUUGGACACAAACAAAACAACAUCCUCAAAAUCCAGACAGAGGAAGAACUAGGUGAUUUAGUACAUCUGACUGAUACUUAAGAAAAAAACACCAAAACACUUAAGAAGUUUUGAAGGGGGGAGGAAGAAUGACUUAAUGUUGAAGAUGCUUAGAGUGCAGUAUGCUCCAUCAGAGACUAGUGGCAUCACUCCACAGCAACUGCAAUUAAGUGAAUUCAGAGCAACAUCUGUAAUCAGAUGACAGCUAUUGGCUCUGAUUUUUCAGGCACAGGCAGAUAAAACACCCUGAAGUUUCACAAAUCCCCCUCCCCAUUGGUCAUUCUUCUCUGAAGAACCAGAACAUCCGCUGUCCGCCUUCUCAAGUGCUCAGAGAUGGCCCAAAUUGCCACAACAAGCAGAAAGGCAAUCCUUUGUUAAAUCCCUCUGGAAACCCAUUCCGGCAGAAAAUGGAACACUUACCGCACUGUUGGCAAAAGUCCCCACAUCUCUGGGCCAGGGGGAUGUCAGCAGUAUAUCCACACCUCUGAAGUUUGGGGUUGAUACCAAAGAUGUUUUUAAUUCUGCCACAUCCUUUGCGCUAAAACUAUAAGCAGGAGCUGGCUCAUGCUGGGACUCGGUACCACUCAGGUAUGCGAUCUGCAGUCCAGAAGUACUACUGUAAAGACCUCGGCGGCCU